rnacentral:rRNA from 1 species
UACAGAGGCCUCGAGCGUUAAUCGGAGUCACUAGGGCUUAAAGGGUGCGUAGGCGGUUCCGUAAGUGCCUUGUGAAAUCCCACGGCCUAACCGUGGAACGGCUCGGCAGACUGCGGAACUUGAGGUCGGUAGAGGUCGCUGGAACUCUAGGUGGAGCGGUGAAAUGCGUAGAUAUCUAGAGGAACGCCCAUGGUGAAGACAGGCGACUGGGCCGAUUCUGACGCUGAGGCACGAAAGCGUGGGUAGCGAACGGG